ACACAUGCAAGUCGAACGAUGAAGCCCUUCGGGGUGGAUUAGUGGCGAACGGGUGAGUAACACGUGGGCAAUCUGCCCUUCACUCUGGGACAAGCCCUGGAAACGGGGUCUAAUACCGGAUAAUACCUGCCUGGGCAUCUGGGUGGGUUAAAAGCUCCGGCGGUGAAGGAUGAGCCCGCGGCCUAUCAGCUUGUUGGUGAGGUAGUGGCUCACCAAGGCGACGACGGGUAGCCGGCCUGAGAGGGCGACCGGCCACACUGGGACUGAGACACGGCCCAGACUCCUACGGGAGGCAGCAGUGGGGAAUAUUGCACAAUGGGCGAAAGCCUGAUGCAGCGACGCCGCGUGAGGGAUGACGGCCUUCGGGUUGUAAACCUCUUUCAGCAGGGAAGAAGCGAAAGUGACGGUACCUGCAGAAGAAGCGCCGGCUAACUACGUGCCAGCAGCCGCGGUAAUACGUAGGGCGCAAGCGUUGUCCGGAAUUAUUGGGCGUAAAGAGCUCGUAGGCGGCUUGUCACGUCGGUUGUGAAAGCCCGGGGCUUAACCCCGGGUCUGCAGUCGAUACGGGCAGGCUAGAGUGUGGUAGGGGAGAUCGGAAUUCCUGGUGUAGCGGUGAAAUGCGCAGAUAUCAGGAGGAACACCGGUGGCGAAGGCGGAUCUCUGGGCCAUUACUGACGCUGAGGAGCGAAAGCGUGGGGAGCGAACAGGAUUAGAUACCCUGGUAGUCCACGCCGUAAACGGUGGGAACUAGGUGUUGGCGACAUUCCACGUCGUCGGUGCCGCAGCUAACGCAUUAAGUUCCCCGCCUGGGGAGUACGGCCGCAAGGCUAAAACUCAAAGGAAUUGACGGGGGCCCGCACAAGCAGCGGAGCAUGUGGCUUAAUUUGACGCAACGCGAAGAACCUUACCAAGGCUUGACAUCGCCCGGAAAGCAUCAGAGAUGGUGCCCCCCUUGUGGUCGGGUGACAGGUGGUGCAUGGCUGUCGUCAGCUCGUGUCGUGAGAUGUUGGGUUAAGUCCCGCAACGAGCGCAACCCUUGUUCUGUGUUGCCAGCAUGCCCUUCGGGGUGAUGGGGACUCACAGGAGACUGCCGGGGUCAACUCGGAGGAAGGUGGGGAGGACGUCAAGUCAUCAUGCCCCUUAUGUCUUGGGCUGCACACGUGCUACAAUGGCAGGUACAAUGAGCUGCGAUGCCGCGAGGCGGAGCGAAUCUCAAAAAGCCUGUCUCAGUUCGGAUUGGGGUCUGCAACUCGACCCCAUGAAGUCGGAGUUGCUAGUAAUCGCAGAUCAGCAUUGCUGCGGUGAAUACGUUCCCGGGCCUUGUACACACCGCCCGUCACGUCACGAAAGUCGGUAACACCCGAAGCCGGUGGCCCAACCCCCUUGUGGGGAGGGAGCUGUCGAAGGUGGGACUGGCGAUUGGGACGAAGUCGUAACA
rnacentral:rRNA from 1 species